rnacentral:rRNA from 1 species
UACGGAGGGUGCAAACGUUGCUCGGAAUCAUUGGGCGUAAAGCGCACGUAGGCGGGCCAUCAAGUCGGUUGUGAAAUCCCUCGGCUUAACCGAGGACGUGCAUUCGAAACUGAUGGCCUUGAGUACGAAAGAGGAUCGCGGAAUUCCCGGUGUAGAGGUGAAAUUCGUAGAUAUCGGGAGGAACACCAGUGGCGAAGGCGGCGAUCUGGGUCGAUACUGACGCUGAGGUGCGAAAGCGUGGGGAGCAAACAGG